rnacentral:lncRNA from 10 species
UACGGGCCCUGGGCUAACCCUCCCCCCAUCACACAACUCAACAGCAACGCCCAAGCCACAACUUCUCUGGACCUCAGGUUCCCUACCUGCAAAACAGUGGCAACAGGGGUCUGGAGUUUCCCGGUCCUCUGGGAUCCCGAGUGGGCCAGAUGUCUCGGACGGCAACACACUCACCCAGCCUAGAGUGCCUUCCACCCAGGGCCAGUCCUAAUGGCCUGGGUGAAGAACAGAGACUCCUGGGGCCUGGGUCCCACCCGAGCCACCCCCUAGCCCAGGCCACACCUCCACCCGCCCAGGCCGCCAAUAAAACAGGCCGGGCAGAACCCAACA